AGUGAACGCUGGCGGUAGGCCUAACACAUGCCAGUCGAACGGCAGCACAGUAAGAGCUUGCUCUUACGGGUGGCGAGUGGCGGACGGGUGAGGAAUACAUCGGAAUCUACUUUUUCGUGGGGGAUAACGUAGGGAAACUUACGCUAAUACCGCAUACGACCUACGGGUGAAAGCAGGGGAUCUUCGGACCUUGCGCGAUUGAAUGAGCCGAUGUCGGAUUAGCUAGUUGGCGGGGUAAAGGCCCACCAAGGCGACGAUCCGUAGCUGGUCUGAGAGGAUGCUCAGCCACACUGGAACUGAGACACGGUCCAGACUCCUACGGGAGGCAGCAGUGGGGAAUAUUGGACAAUGGGCGCAAGCCUGAUCCAGCCAUACCGCGUGGGUGAAGAAGGCCUUCGGGUUGUAAAGCCCUUUUGUUGGGAAAGAAAAGCAGCAGGUUAAUACCCCGCUGUUCUGACGGUACCCAAAGAAUAAGCACCGGCUAACUUCGUG
rnacentral:rRNA from 1 species